AUCUUCCAGAUCCCUUACCCACGAGACAUGAAUACGGCCUGACUGGUUAUCAAAGGAGGAAAAAUAUAAGUGAAAAUGACGCAAAUUUUUCUGGGGCACACAGCUAGUUUCAAACAACA
rnacentral:snoRNA from 1 species